UUUUUGGGGGGGGGGGUGGAACUUGAUGACUAGGAAAUGCUGCUUUGCUGAUUGGUUGAAGAAAGUCUGGAACUCCUCAUGCUGGAAACUCAUUGGCUGAGAACUGAAUCCUGCGUCGGUGUGAAAGGCUAUUGAGAUUGUUGCAUUCUCACUCUCUGGUUCCCUGCAGUCGGCGAGAAAGGAAACAUCUCAGGGAUGCCAGUGUUUUCUUCCACUGUUCUCAAGGUUGAGAGGGGGAAAGACGAGUUUUACAUCUGUUUUGCUGGGGGCUCUAAGCCAGAAGAGGCUUAGGGAUAAUAAGGCAAAGUAAAAUCCACUAUUUCCAGAGCGGAGUGGGGCUUGGCAGUUCUUUGACUCAAGGGAACUAAUUACUUGUCACUUAAGAUUGUAACUUUGUUUCAGCACCCUUUUGCCAGUGGCUAGGAGCAAAAUGUUAGCCACCGCUUCAUCGGCUGGAGAGCAGAGAAGAGCGGCCUUCCCGACAGGAGAGUGAUGAGGACUAAAUAGGGAGCAGCUAGGAGAAAAGAGACAGCAAAGCUUGCAGUCUAGAGUUGUGAAUUGCUUCCCUAAAAUGCUGCUGCCCUGGGAAGGUGGGUUUCCCCAUCUGUGUACCUCCAACUGGUUUUCUAAAAAUAUAUGCCAAUUUCCCCCAUGGACGCUCCUAUUUUAGUGGGAUAAGGCAGCAAAAAUCAUGCUUCCUAACUGCCCUUCUCUUCACAGUCCAGUAUUUGGCAUGUAAUUGAAACUUAAUAAAUUGUUAAUGGACAGUGGCUCCUCAAAAUGGAAUUGGAAUCAGGAACUGAGGGGAGAAGAUGGAAGCUUUCUUUCUUUUUACUUUGUGAUGUGAUCUGCUAUGACAGCUGGUGGUACCCACUGUUAGAGCAACAGCUGGGAAUGGUCAUGUAAUGUUUUCUGGGCCAUGUAACCUAGGCCAGAAAUCUGUGUCCAUCAGCCAUCAGUCACCUCCUUAGGAGACUACAUGGGAAAUGAGUUAAGUAGCCAGAGGAUUCCCCCAGGCCCCAGAUUUUGAAAUUGAACUCUGCUUGCUUAUAUGAGCCUAGUGUCCAUUUGCUGGAUUUUAUUAACCUCCACUUUACUUGAUUUCACAAACCCCGUAGGUAAUUGGGAUAUGUUCUCGUCCAAUCAGAGUUUUCAUUGCCUUUUCAAAAUCAGCAUCCCUCACAUAAUAAGAAAUUGCAGAGCUUUCUCUCUCUCUCUCUCUCUCUCUCUCUCUCUCUCUCUCUCUCUCUCUGUCUCUGUCUCU